rnacentral:piRNA from 1 species
UGUGAUAAAAUGUUCUGGCGAAAGCAGC